rnacentral:rRNA from 1 species
UCAAGUUCUGAUCCAGAGUACCACGAGACACGUGAAACCUUGUGGGAAGCAGGGAGGACCACCUCCCAAGGCUAAAUACUACCUGAUGACCGAUAGUGAAGCAGUACCGUGAGGGAAAGGUGAAAAGAACCCCGGGAGGGGAGUGAAAUAGAACCUGAAACCAUGUGCCUACAACCGAUCAAAGCACCUUAUGUGUGUGAUGAUGUGCUUUUUGUAGAACGAGCCAACGAGUUACGGUAUGUAGCAAGGUUAAGUACUUAAGGUACGGAGCCGAAGGGAAACCGAGUCUUAAUAGGGCGACUAGUUGCAUGCUGUAGACCCGAAACCGGGUGACCUAUCCAUGGCCAGGUUGAAGCGAGGGUAAAACCUCGUGGAGGACCGAACCACGUUGCUGUUGAAAAAGCAUGGGAUGAGCUGUGGAUAGCGGAGAAAUUCCAAUCGAACUCGGAUAUAGCUGGUUCUCCUCGAAAUAGCUUUAGGGCUAGCGUCGGAAAAUGUGAGUACUGGGGGUAGAGCACUGAAUGGGCUAGGGGGCAUAGCGCUUACCGAACCUUAUCAAACUCCGAAUACCAGAUACUAUCAGUCCGGCAGUCAGACUGCGAAAGAUAAGUUCCGUAGUCAAAAGGGAAACAGCCCAGAUCGUCAGCUAAGGUCCCAAAGUGUAAGUUAAGUGGAAAAGGAUGUGGGAUUUCUAAGACAACUAGGAUGUUGGCUUAGAAGCAGCCACUCAUUAAAAGAGUGCGUAAUAGCUCACUAGUCAAGAGAUCCUGCGCCGAAAAUGUCCGGGGCUCAAACUUACCACCGAAGCUACGGGUUCACACA